AUUGUAUAUUAGUAUAUUGUAACCAUGUGUUCAUUCUUAAUUUGUUUUUUGUCUUUUUUCCCCUCCUCUCUUGCGUGUUUCAUAUUGAUUACCUUACAACAAAGUCUCACAAGGUGGGUAACGCCUGCUCAAGCAAGCAUGUCCUGAACUAGCCAAGAUUAUAUGAAUGUUUGACAGCUCGUUCUCUCGUGAAUAUAUGUGUAUCUUGUGAUCAAUGUUUGAUAUGGAUCAGUAGAUAUUAUGUUUAAAAUCUAAAUAUUUAAUGUUCCUCUUAUAUUUUAGACAAUUGUAAAUUUUAUAGUGGAAGUCUGUAUUUUAAAAUGAUUAAUUAUGACUUAUUACAUAAUAUUUUUCUGAAUGAUAUCACACAUGGCUGCUCUGCAACAGACAGACUGAUAUGAGUAAAGUAUUUCUGGAAUUCACCGGGAAAUUGCAAAUUUGAGCUCAAAUAGCUGUGCUGAAAACAUAACUAACUUGGAGAGUUUUUCCAAACUUACUAUUUUGAUUUUGAACUAAAUUUACAAUUUCCCGGAAAAUUCUCUCCAAGUCAUAGUAAAUACAUCUUUAAAAAUAAACACGAUCAAAUUAUUAUUAUUAUUAUUUAUUGUGUUUAUUAUUAAAUCCUUGUGCUAAAAAUGAACAUCUCAAAACAUAGAGCAGCUCUGAAACUAACUGCGAUUUACUUUACUGUCCAUAAUCUCCAUUUUUAUAUCAUUGCAGGAUACAAGGAUCAAGGAAUUCCACAGCAAUUGUAAUGCUUCAAAGGGCUUCUGGGACUCUUAAUUACUGUAUCCACAGCUUCAAAUUCCUGUGGGAAGUUGAUUUAUAUAAAGAAUAAAGCACAGACACCUAUAGAUCGCACACAUCCAGUGAUGCAUAGACCAUUGGGCUUGAGAUGAUUUUUUUUCUGGGGCUCCCAUUUCUGAAAUAAGAUCAAAUCUCAAACCUGCCUUCUGCAAUUUAUUCAACAUCUCACAAUAUUGAAAUAUAGAUUUUUAUGUCAGUUAUUUCCUUUUCAGUCAGUUUGAUGGAGGGAUUAAAGAUUGACCCUUUCACCUGAUUUCAUUCUACUUUUGUCAUAUACUGGAUAAUUACACAAGUCCUUGACUAUUUUAGUAACUGCCGACAGCAAAACAAUCGCAAUCUUUGACAUCUUCCUAAAUAUGAAAAAUGAUCACAGAGUACUUCUUGUUAAAAAUAUGAUGCACCAACCAAUAAAUUUAUUCAUGUUACUUCUUCUAUGAGACGUGGAAGCACUCUCUCUGUAUCAAUCAUUCUCCUGCAUGGAAUACAGGUCAUAGCUUGAUUCCACGAUCCUAUCUGCCACUGUGGACCAUUCGCUGUCCAAGACUUUGACAAUCCGGUCAUCUGAAUUGCUAAUAAAUCUCAAGAUAUUCGCAAAUAAGUGUUUCGGUCUGAGGACCUCUUCAUAAUCUCUUUGGAACCCAAAUGGAUACCUCCACAUUCUGUGCUGGUUGAAAUAUACAACAAUAAAAAUAUAAAUAAACAUCGAAACAAAUUCUAGAGAUCAACGUAAGAGAUUUCCAAUACUUUUGCAUACAUUUUUUCUAAAACAUCAUUCUGUCACACUGAGAACUGAUCAUCUGGAAGAAAAGUUAGAGUGGUUGGGAUUGAUGGCCAACAAAUUAUAUUCGACUCCACUAAUACUUUUAUGAUGAGUCCCUCACCAGAUAACUGGAGGUGGUUAAAAAUGUCCCAUCCUGUUCUACCUAUAAUCUGCCUAUCUAAGUUCUCUGAGGAUCAGGAAUUCAAGAACUCCCACAAAUAGUUACCAAGUGCAGCAAAACUGAAUAUUUGAGAUAAAUAAAGUCGGUUGCAGUGAGCUGCUCCUGAGUUAAGCUUCUGAGACGAGACUCGGAAGAAGGGGACAUAGAGCGAGACAAAGCAGUAGGCACGUGUCUAAGAACUUGCAUCGACCCUAAAACUAACAAGGUUCUGGUGGUGAACCAAAGCAGUAACUCGAUUAACAUUGGACCAACUCCCCAUCUGGGGUUACACGGGAAUGUUUUCACAACAUUGAACAUUAAAAAAUAGAAGCAAUGAGUUUUACUAAGUGUGUCUUGAUAUCUUUAAAUGACUCUGUUACCUAACGAGUAUUAUGUAAUGAUAUAAAAUAUAUGGGUCCAGCGUGACCAACUUUGGCCACUCUGCUCUUGUUGAACUACACUUCCCAGAGUGCUCUGCCAACUCAGAUCUAUAUAUUUUCAGCAUUAGGCCACUGACUGUCAAAUCCACAAAUGUCCAGCAACACAGUAUGCAUGUGCUGGAAUACAGUUUCUUAUGGAAUGUUUCCUUACCCCUAGUUCCGAUCACAAACAACCAACGUUUCAGUCAGUAGAUCUUCUGCAGACUUACCUAUUGAUGAUACUGUCACAUGGCUUCACAGACAAAUAGUCUUCUGUGAAAUAUGAUAAAUAAUCCAUUCCUGAAAACAGCGCGUUCCAAUCGCUUUAUAGCAUGACUGUGCUCGGAAGCCAUCUGUCAUCCAGGGGUUAAAUUAAAUAAGAUGUCAAACUUGAAUGCCAUUUAUAGUGGACCUAGCAACCGACACCCUAUUGCUGUAUUUUAAUGUUCAAUCUGGAGCAGCUUUCAAAUUGUACAUAUUGCAUUCUUAAAAUCUUGGUAACAUUGUGUAGGUGGAGCCGGCAGUUACAAUGCGCAGCUGUGAUCAGUAUGAGGAUCUGAUGGUCAACUAAACAAAGGGGUCUUUUCACUAAACAACAAAUACGUGUUGUACACCAUUCACAGUGUACUAAAAUGGUUGGUUAUUUUAGCUUAAAUGGGCACUCUAGGACCUUAAAAACUUCGGUGUCCUUUUUUUUUUUUCAUUUUACAAAGAAUUUCAAUAGAAUCUGCACUUUUAUAAAUUAAACACACCCUGACAUCCAGUCAUGUUACUUCCUGGUUUGUUUAGCUAAGUGGAACUCCAGCCUUGCAAAGACUCACUGAGCUGUAUUGGGAAGUCUGUGAUUGGACAGCCACUGAAAGUUUGGGCGGAGUUAGAAGGGGAGGGCUUGGAAGACAAGAGAUCUGCAGCUUUUACAAGCAGUUUUUAGAUGUACCUUUUGGAGCAAAAAUACAUAUUUAAAUGCAUGCAUGUUUCCAUUGGCAUAUUUACUAAACAGUCAUUGUAUGAGUUUUAACCUGGGCAGUAGAGUGUCCCUUUAAUUUUUUUAAAUUUAGUUUACAACUUACCACAAUUUGGUGUUUAGUAAAUAUACCUCAUAGUUUCAUAAAGUCACUUCAAAGUAAAAUUCAGGUGGGGUACAGAAAUAAAUAGACGAUAUACAUUAUCUUUACAUUUGUAGCAAAAAGAAAAUACUAACUAUGUUGUACCUGCUUAAAUUAUUUUAUGAGCUCUUAUUAAUUAUAACUUAAUAUUUAUUUUCUUUUUUUUCUUUAAUCUUCAUUUAAUCGGUAUAUGUACGCAAUCUUUGUGCUAUUUUAUGUUUUGUUAACUAAACGUAGGAUUUGAAGUACAAUAUAUAAAUGUAGUUUAUCUGAAAUUGUUCUGAUUUCUUCGUUCCCAGGGUACAUUCAAUCCCUUGAGACAUAAAUGUACCAGAAAGACCUUGGUCACUGACAUCCCCUAAAUUUUGAUGUGUCAUUUUCCAUGAUCCCUGAGUGAAAUGAAGGGCUUAUUAUAUGUUGUUUAAAUGUCGCAGGUGGCUAAAUUUGGAUUGUGAGUCAGAUAAGAUGACUCAGAUGUUUCUCCAGAGGUACGUCUUGGCACAGUUUGGAUACAAUACACUACUCCCAAAUAAAUGACAGGCUGUUAUAUGUAGCACUCAAAAUUGCGUAAGAUGUCUACACAAUCCCCUCUCAUUUCUGGAUGCAAAACCCGUGCACACGUUCAUACAUCUAAACCUAUAGGGGUGCCCUGAGUUUAUUCACAUCUCGUGUCAUUUAGUUCACGGUAGCUAAACUGGAAAAAUAAGCCAGUCGCAGGUUUGUUACAGGCUAACGUUUUAUUCCAUGUUUUGUAAGUGGAUUAUUAAAUAACCAUGAUUUACUGUUUAUUGAAUAAGCAUCUAAAUACAUGUAGCAAUAUUUGAAGGUCUGCUUUUGUGUCUGUCUGAUUCUUCAUUGCCUAAAUAUUCUAAUUAUAUUACACAUACAGAUUGCCCGGGCCUAAUUAUAAGGGAAAAUAUCACUACAGAGAGCAGGGCUGGAGUCUGACCAUGUUACACUCAUUACAAUAUAACUAAGCAUCGAGUUUAAACUGGCUAUAAUCUAAUUACCCAAUGCAGAAUUCUAUACAAUAUUGGAGACUAUAAAUAUGAAAAUAAUUGACAGUAAGUUGCUUCUGUUGAGGGUUGGGGGAGCAUUUAGGGAUAUAUUGAUUAAACAGUAAAUUAUGCUUUUUGUUGUUUUUUUUUUAUAAAUUAUUACAACGUUAUUUCUUUUUUUCCAUUUCAAAAUCAGUCAUUUUCCUCUAAAUAGAAAUGCAAUUCCCUGUUUGUAAAAUAAAAUGUUCUGCCAUCUCUGAGGUGAUUCUGCCUCCGGUUAUAAAAGCACCAAUUUCUAUUGAUUUCUAUUCUAUUGAAAUCGGCAUUAUUAUAAACGGUCACAAAUACGACAACCUCCACACACUUUAGCAAGAUGUAAUGCUUUGUGUCUGGAGUGAUCCUGUAAAUCUUGCAUUUUGCCUUCUUUUUUCACAUGUACAUGUACAAGGCAAAGUAGUCCCAUUUUAUCAUAUAUAUAUAUAUUUAGCUUUUUUUAAUAAACAUUCUGUGUGAAAAAUACAUGCUCCUCCAGUUGUUUGAUAGUCUCCUUCAAUCAACUCUUAAUUCCCUUUAUAUUUUACCAAAUGCUACAACUCUCUCUUAACUUCUUUUAGCCAUCACUUCCAAAUUGCUCCCGCUACCUCUUGUCUCAAAUCCCCUCUGUAUCCUUUAGAUCAGUGCUUCCCAACAGUCCAGGAUUUAGGGAUUACCAAAUUGUGUCUAAAGAGUUUUUAGAAGAAGAAUAAAAAAACACUUUAGACCCAACUGGGUAAUCCCUAAAUCCUGGACUGGUAGGGGGUACUUGAUGACUGGGUUGGUAACCAUUGCUUUAGAUUGUAAGCUCACGGGCUAUCUAGCUAACCACUUUGUACAAAAGAGGUUCAAUGGCUAGAUCUCAGUUUACGAGCAGGGCCCUCUCUACCUUUUGUAUUUGUCUGUGUAUAUUGUACGUUCUCCCCUAAUUGUACAGCGCUGUAGAAUAAGUUGACGCUUUAUCAGUACCAGUAAUAAAUAAAUAAGAAAACUGAGUUGUGACACAUCUGCUUUAAGUAGCAGAUAGGGAUCAGAGCCAGAUUGUUGCCACUGCUUUAAAUGUAUUGGUCAUUAAUGAGUUAAUGUCAAGAAAUUGACAUAAGCUCCGCAGGAGAACAGAGGUUGUAAGAAGGUGUCUGUUCCUUCCUGAGUUUCACAUCUGCCAGUGUAUAAAUGGUCAUGCUCACUGAGACAUGCGCGAGCCAGCAAUCUUUAUCUACAGAGCCAGACAACCUGUUAUACAAUGUAUACUGCACAGCACAGACUGUCCUAUCACUUGAAUCAAUCAGUAUCCUAUGGCCGAGAUUUAUAAUACUAUUACUAAUAGAAAUAUUGAGCAAAAUUCUCAGACGAGCAAUUGCCAUAGAAACCAUUAGAAUGUUCCUUCUUGACAACUUUACUCCACUUUCAUAGGUCUUCGUCAAUGUACACGAAUGUUUGAGAAAAGAAACACAUAAUCUAUAGUUAGCGUGAAUUUCUUGGCUAUCCCUCUCCUCCCCCGUAAGGAAAGAUCAAAGUGGAUUUUAAUGUAAAUAAUCUUAUUGGAUAAUCUGUUGUAAUCAUGGAUUGAAACCACGUGGAGUUUCUGUUUUUAAUGUUUUCUGUUUUUUAAUGUUUUUAAAAUGACUUCUUAAAUGUUUGAAUAUUUUCUCCU
rnacentral:lncRNA from 1 species